UACGGAGGGUGCAAGCGUUAAUCGGAAUUACUGGGCGUAAAGCGCACGUAGGUGGUUUUCUAAGUCAGCUGUGAAAUCCCCGGGCUCAACCUGGGACUUGCAGUUGAAACUGGGAAGCUAGAGUAGGGUAGAGGGGUGUGGAAUUCCAGGUGUAGCGGUGAAAUGCGUAGAUAUCUGGAGGAACAUCAGUGGCGAAGGCGACACCCUGGACUCAUACUGACACUGAGGUGCGAAAGCGUGGGGAGCGAACAGG
rnacentral:rRNA from 1 species